UACGUAGGGGGCUAGCGUUGUUCGGAAUUACUGGGCGUAAAGCGCACGUAGGCGGAAUGUUAAGUCAGGGGUGAAAUCCCGGGGCUCAACCCCGGAACUGCCUUUGAUACUGGCAUUCUCGAGUCCGGAAGAGGUGAGUGGAAUUCCGAGUGUAGAGGUGAAAUUCGUAGAUAUUCGGAGGAACACCAGUGGCGAAGGCGGCUCACUGGGCCGGUACUGACGCUGAGGUGCGAAAGCGUGGGGAGCAAACAGG
rnacentral:rRNA from 1 species